CAAUACGGCCGGUCUGUUGGCGGCCGUUCUGCUGCAGUGCGGGCAGAGCCUGCGUGAGAAUGAAGCCAACCUAGAGGAAUGGGGAGCGGAGAGAGGGAGGCCGGUAGAAAGGGGGUGCUCUGGGCCCCUCAAGGACAGCCCCCCGCUUCGGACGUCCCAGUCGUGGAAGCGCAUGCACCCCUGUGCGGGGUUCCGUCAUUGCUCCCAGGCUCUGUGCUGAGCUCAUCAGGUGCAUCGUGACUAAUGAGUCUCACGACCGCCCUAAGGGGUAGAUAUUCGGAUGUUUCCUGCUUUCGGACGAGAAGAGACCGAGACUGAAAGUGAGACCUGAGCGGGAGCCCAGCCUCGCGCUGUGGACAUGUGUGAACCCUGCCUCCCCGGCCCGGCCCCCUGCUGCCCAGCAGAGGCAUUCAGGUGUUUGUUGAGUGCUCGUCCUGGCCGUUGGGAGUUGAGUUCAGCUUCCCUUCCUUCUCUGGAAUUUGUGUGUGGGCACUGGAUGUGCCUGAGCCCUUUGCCUCCUGCCCCUGGGCAUUUGCAGAGCAGAACCCCUCUGCCGCGGUACUUCGUGGUGGGACUGGACGUCCCGCAGCCAAGCCUUGGACGCUGCAGCAAGAUUGCAUUUCCAGACACUUAAAAACAUUCCCUGAAUGAUCUCUGUGAACUUUCCAGAGUUUGAAGUGGGCUGGACCACCUUAAAGUUAGCUCUGACAGAAAACCUUUUGUACGGAGCCUUUGGAUUUCUUGUUCCCCUUUAGAAGCGAUGUUCUUGUUUGAUGGGAACAGAGACAGUCCUGUAACACCCAGGUCAAGCUGUUCUUUGGGAAACUUUAAAAGAGGCUGGAGGUGUGUUCUGAAGAAAGCAAAUAAGUCCAGAUCCUUGUCCCCAUGUGGUAAACUCUGAGCAGUUUGGAGAAGAUCAGAAACUCCUACGUUUGUGCCUUGGCCCAGGAGAGUUCAAAGCCACAGCUGGCAAAGCCGAUCCAGGAGCCUAAUACAGCAGCCAGGGGGUGAGGGAGCCGGUCCCAGGGGCCUCAGCGUUCCAGCACUUCCAGCCUGACCUGAGGAUUGGCAGAGGGAGCAGGUGCACGCACGGUUGGCUCCCUGGAAGCAGUCAGUGCCAAGGCAAGGACAAGGCCCUGCCCAGAGGAGGGUCUAGAGCAGAAUGAGGGAUGAAGAGGGGCCUCUCCUGCCCAGAGCUCCUGGCCCAGCCUCUUUGGGGAAGACCAGCUCCACAGGACAGCAGACAGCCCCCAGGGUUCCCUUAGUUUCCAGCGAUGCCUCGUGACUCCUGGCUACAGGAGACUCUCUCUUCCUCCGGAUCCCUGCUCCCCUGCAUUUUAGCCCCAGAUUUCUGGAAGCUCUUCAGAGAGGCGGAUGUUUGCAAGUCCGCCCAGUGCUAUUGAUUUGUGCCUUAGUGAGCCUUGCCUUUACGAUGAUUAAUAUUUGAUUUAUGCCCUGGGUUUGUCCUCUUUCUGAUCUCUUUCUAACUCAUUAAAUCUUCCUUAAUCGAGCCUCUAACUUUUUCCUUUGGAACGUACCCUCCAGAGGAAGCUUCCAGUUCCCC